GGCAUCGUGGCGGAGUGGUUAACGCGACAGCCUAGAAUUGAAUUGAGGCACACAGAGUAAACUCUGAUGUAUUACAUUCUAUCCUGCAAGCUGUUCCUUUCGGGGGCGCAGGUUCGAAUCCUGCCGAUGUCG